rnacentral:rRNA from 1 species
AGAGUUUGAUCAUGGCUCAGAUUGAACGCUGGCGGCAUGCCUUACACAUGCAAGUCGAACGGCAGCACGGGGGCAACCCUGGUGGCGAGUGGCGAACGGGUGAGUAAUACAUCGGAACGUGUCCUGUAGUGGGGGAUAGCCCGGCGAAAGCCGGAUUAAUACCGCAUACGCUCUACGGAGGAAAGGGGGGGAUCUUAGGACCUCCCGCUACAGGGGCGGCCGAUGGCAGAUUAGCUAGUUGGUGGGGUAAAGGCCUACCAAGGCGACGAUCUGUAGCUGGUCUGAGAGGACGACCAGCCACACUGGGACUGAGACACGGCCCAGACUCCUACGGGAGGCAGCAGUGGGGAAUUUUGGACAAUGGGGGAAACCCUGAUCCAGCAAUGCCGCGUGUGUGAAGAAGGCCUUCGGGUUGUAAAGCACUUUUGUCCGGAAAGAAAUCCUCUUCGCUAAUACCGAGGGGGGAUGACGGUACCGGAAGAAUAAGCACCGGCUAACUACGUGCCAGCAGCCGCGGUAAUACGUAGGGUGCAAGCGUUAAUCGGAAUUACUGGGCGUAAAGCGUGCGCAGGCGGUUCGCUAAGACAGAUGUGAAAUCCCCGGGCUUAACCUGGGAACUGCAUUUGUGACUGGCGGGCUAGAGUAUGGCAGAGGGGGGUAGAAUUCCACGUAGCAGUGAAAUGCGUAGAGAUGUGGAGGAAUACCGAUGGCGAAGGCAGCCCCCUGGGCCAAUACUGACGCUCAUGCACGAAAGCGUGGGGAGCAAACAGGAUUAGAUACCCCAGUAGUCC